GAUGAACGCUGGCGGCGUGCCUAAUACAUGCAAGUCGAGCGAACAGACGAGGAGCUUGCUCCUCUGACGUUAGCGGCGGACGGGUGAGUAACACGUGGAUAACCUACCUAUAAGACUGGGAUAACUUCGGGAAACCGGAGCUAAUACCGGAUAAUAUAUUGAACCGCAUGGUUCAAUAGUGAAAGACGGUUUUGCUGUCACUUAUAGAUGGAUCCGCGCCGCAUUAGCUAGUUGGUAAGGUAACGGCUUACCAAGGCAACGAUGCGAAGCCGACCUGAGAGGGUGAUCGGCCACACUGGAACUGAGACACGGUCCAGACUCCUACGGGAGGCAGCAGUAGGGAAUCUUCCGCAAUGGGCGAAAGCCUGACGGAGCAACGCCGCGUGAGUGAUGAAGGUCUUCGGAUCGUAAAACUCUGUUAUUAGGGAAGAACAAAUGUGUAAGUAACUAUGCACGUCUUGACGGUACCUAAUCAGAAAGCCACGGCUAACUACGUG
rnacentral:rRNA from 1 species